UACGAAGGGUGCAAGCGUUACUCGGAAUUACUGGGCGUAAAGCGUGCGUAGGUGGUGAGUUAAGUCUGAUGUGAAAUCCCCGGGCUCAACCUGGGAAUGGCAUUGGAUACUGGCUCGCUAGAGUGCGGUAGAGGGUGGUGGAAUUCCCGGUGUAGCAGUGAAAUGCGUAGAGAUCGGGAGGAACAUCUGUGGCGAAGGCGGCCACCUGGACCAACACUGACACUCAACUACGAAAGCGUGGGGAGCAAACAGG
rnacentral:rRNA from 1 species